rnacentral:tRNA from 1 species
GGUUCCGUAGUUCAGCGGCAAGAGCGCCUGACUGUCUAUCAGGAUGUCGCGGGUUCGAAUCCCGCCGGAACCGCCA